AAAGGGUCCGUAGGCGGUUUAAUAAGUCAGUGGUGAAAGCCCAUCGCUCAACGGUGGAACGGCCAUUGAUACUGUUAAACUUGAAUUAUUAGGAAGUAACUAGAAUAUGUAGUGUAGCGGUGAAAUGCUUAGAGAUUACAUGGAAUACCAAUUGCGAAGGCAGGUUACUACUAAUGGAUUGACGCUGAUGGACGAAAGCGUGGGGAGCAAACAGGAUUAGAUACCCUUGU
rnacentral:rRNA from 1 species